GGAGGGUUGGCCGAGCGGACGAAGGCACCAGUCUUGAAAACUGGCAUACCCUAAUCGGGUAUCGUGGGUUCGAAUCCCACACCCUCCGCCA
rnacentral:tRNA from 3 species